CGGAUACUAGAGACAGAUACGAUUCAUAUGAAGGGUUAUCUCUUUCCAAGAUCCACAAGGCUCCAAAAUCAGAUUUCACAUAUUUCACUUGGUUCCAAAAUUUCCCCCCAAUCUCAUUUUCACAAAAACCUCAAAUUAAAGAAGAAAACAAAACACAUGAUUUCCCUUUCUUUCAUGUUCCCCAAAUCAAACUUUUGAACCCUCUUUUGUUUCGACCCUUCCUCCCUCUUUUACCCCAAAUCUAAGUCUAAAAAUUUCUCUCCUUAGAUCUAAAACUCUUCUUCUUCUCUCUUUCGAUUCUUCUUUCCUCUGAAACAUACACAUGCAUAAAUGAUUGGUUUCUCAAAGUUUCAGCCAUGAGUUGUUGUCUCCAUCAGGUUAGACCGCAACACUGUUCUUUAUCACAUUUUGGGAUUCGUCCAUUAGUAGCAGCAGAAGAGGGAAAGGAAUUGGCAGAAGAGAGAUGGCUAAUGUUGUUGUCAAUCUAACUCUUCAAAUUCUUAAGCAGUGUUAGCUUUCUGGCACUUAGCACUUGUAUUGGAAAUGGCAUUCCUUUUGGCGUUGUAGGAUUGGCUGUUUUGAAUGUAAUAAUAGACAAGAGUGGGGUCCCAUUUGAAAGAGUGCCUUAACGCACUCAAAGACAAAUAUAAAUGUAAGGUUUCUUAUUCUUUUUCCAUCUAAGAUUAAUGCAUAAGAAAACAUUCAUGAAUUCAUUCUAGAGAGAGCGACAGAAUGGAGAACAAAAGGUUAUAACUGAGAUGAAUUAUGUUUACCAAAGAAUCAGAAUUUGUACGAUGGAGCUGCACUUUUCUAAUGGUGUUGCUAUGACAACAAUGUCUCUAUUCAAAGCUAUUGGAUCUCCUAUGAGUGGUAAAAUGUUUCAGAAGUGAUGUGAGUGCGUGUUGCCUGUUUGUUUGGCUGUAUAAUAGGUCCGCUGCUAUUUUUUCUGGUGCGCAAUUACGUUCUGGUGGUGCCUGGCACAACUCUGUGUUUCUGGUGUAUCGUUCAGAGAGGGUUGGAGUGAUAAUAGAAUUGAGAAGACCAAGUCUAUGAUUAUUGAUGAGGGUAUUGAAAAUGACAUUCCUUUUGGUAUUGUUGCAACUAUUGGUGAGAUUGCAAAGGUCUUGACUCACUGAAAUUACUUUAACAGCUUUGCUGGAAAUAUUGUUUGUACAGCUACUAUGGUCUAUACGAUAUCUAGAAUGUGAACUAUUAAGUUUAAUUAAGAUGGUGUAAAUAAACAACGUAUUGUAUGAUGUUAAUUUAAAUUCUAUUAGAUUAUUAUCUAAACUUAAGCAAAUAAAGUUUAUAAAUUUUAUAUGC